rnacentral:rRNA from 1 species
CCCAUGUGACCAUACCAAACUGUUGCCUCGGCGGGGUCACGCCCCGGGUGCGUCGCAGCCCCGGAACCAGGCGCCCGCCGGAGGGACCAACCAAACUCUUUUCUGUAGUCCCCUCGCGGACGUUAUUUCUUACAGCUCUGAGCAAAAAUUCAAAAUGAAUCAAAACUUUCAACAACGGAUCUCUUGGUUCUGGCAUCGAUGAAGAACGCAGCGAAAUGCGAUAAGUAAUGUGAAUUGCAGAAUUCAGUGAAUCAUCGAAUCUUUGAACGCACAUUGCGCCCGCCAGUAUUCUGGCGGGCAUGCCUGUCCGAGCGUCAUUUCAACCCUCGAACCCCUCCGGGGGGUCGGCGUUGGGGACCUCGGGAGCCCCUAAGACGGGAUCCCGGCCCCGAAAUACAGUGGCGGUCUCGCCGCAGCCUCUCCUGCGCAGUAGUUUGCACAACUCGCACCGGGAGCGCGGCGCGUCCACGUCCGUAAAACACCCAACUUCUGAAAUGUUGACCUCGGAUCAGGUAGGAAUACCCGCUGAACUUAAGCAUAUCAA